rnacentral:rRNA from 1 species
ACGAACGCUUGCGGCAUGCCUAACACAUGCAAGUCGAACGAGACCUUCGGGUCUAGUGGCGCACGGGUGCGUAACGCGUGGGAACCUGCCCUUAGGUUCGGAAUAACUCCCCGCAAGGGGUGCUAAUACCGGAUAAUGUCUUCGGACCAAAGAUUUAUCGCCUUUGGAUGGGCCCGCGUUGGAUUAGCUAGUUGGUAGGGUAAAAGCCUACCAAGGCGACGAUCCAUAGCUGGUCUGAGAGGAUGAUCAGCCACACUGGGGCUGAGACACGGCCCAGACUCCUACGGGAGGCAGCAGUGGGGAAUAUUGGACAAUGGGCGAAAGCCUGAUCCAGCAAUGCCGCGUGAGUGAUGAAGGCCUUAGGGUUGUAAAGCUCUUUUACCCGGGAUGAUAAUGACAGUACCGGGAGAAUAAGCGCCGGCUAACUCCGUG